CAUGUAUCGUAAAUUAUUUUCGUGGUUAGCCGACCAGAAUGUGUUUACCACGAUGCGCAGUAAUCCACAUUCUGCGUUAAAAUCCAGUUUGCGCUGCAAAAGUGAAUUAUUGUCUCUUCGCUUAGUAUAUAGUUCUUUCAUGACAUAUAAUUUCGGCUGGUUAUUAUUAUUUUAAAUGUAUGUAAAAGUAUUCUAAAUGGCUUCGUAUGUUGCUGAUGAUAUUUUAUUUUGGAUCUGCGCAUGCAGCUAGCCACAUGCGAAAAUUAUUAUCUUUCUUUAACGACUUUGUCUUUCUGUCAACAUCGUUCUGUCUGCCUGGAGGCUGGAUGGUAAUGGUUGGUGAGGAAGUAUGAGUUACAUGACACUGGAGAAAAGCCACGAAAAAAUGAAAAAGCGCUAAUCUUUUGCUAUACUGACACAAAGGUAGCCAGAUCACGUUUUAGAGCUGUCAGCAAUCAUCUGUACUCAGACAAAAGCAGCCGCAGGUCAAGCCACUUCAGCGAUCACCGGUGCCCAUAUAUAUAUUAUACGCAAAGCAAUCUGCGGAAGAUAUACCUGGCUCGACCGUAAUAGCCUUCCAUCGGUGCUGCCCACCACCCAGGUGAGCGUUAUUCACGACCAAGUGCAAGAACCGGCGCUGUCCCGGAAAAAUGCCGAUAAUGGGAGCCCGGCUGACGUGGCUUUCGAAAUGUCGUGUGCGGGUCUGACAUCCGCAGCUGCUCUGCACUGCCCCUGCGCGGGGAUUGGACAGCGCUGCGCUGACCAGACUUCAAUCUGCAAUGCAGAUCACAAGUGUGUUUGUGAUUCCGCUCUUGGUUACCAGGAUGCCGCUGGGAAGCACUGCAUCCGUUACCCAACCACCACUCCUUUUACCUACCCCACCUGUCCAGUUUGUCCAGCUUGUCCAACUGUGACGUGCCCAACUUGUCCAACCACCACGACGGCAACGUGCCCAACAACCGCCACUACGACCACAACUACGAUGACCACCACGACGAAACCAACAACGACUACAACAGCACCAGCAUUCCCGGCUUGCUCGGCGGCAGGAGCCACCUACGACGGUAUAAAUACAGUUGCUUGUGGAGACUGUUUCUUCAUAACAGAUGUGAAGACUAUAACGAUCAUGGCCGAUGGGAGUGGCGUUUCUGUGUGUACGUUCCUGUUGAUUGGCUCUCCUGGUAGCACACUGCAGAUAAAUCCUGUGACGGUUACCCUGCUGACAGCUGCUUUGCUGAGUUGGUGAUCUGAACCGAACACCAUUAGACCGUCGCACCGUAUCCUCGGUUGACCGUUCAGUGAGAGAGAACACCAGCUCGUUGUCUCCUUAGACGCGUACACUUCUCUCUCGGCGUGUGUAACCGGCAAAAGGUGGACGGGUGUAAGGUUGAAAUUCAAUAACUUUUCGCCGUUUUUGAUAUGAUUCAAAAUUAACUGAUUUGAAAUGAAAUGGAAUUUAAAAUUUAAAAAUGAGUUGUUUACUUAAUUUUUUGUUUGGUUAUUUCGAAAAAUUUUACCUUAUUUUUUCAACUUAUUGUAAGAACUUUUAAGCAGAUUUCAUGAUUUCCUACACUCAAAACUAAUUAAAUAUUAAUUUAAAGAAAUUGUUUUCCAUUUCAGAUCGUUUCAAACGCAUUUCAAGUUUAUAAUUUCAACUUUUCACAUUUCAAAUCAUUUCACAUCACAUUUCAAACUGGCCCUCGUUUGAAUUUGAAAUGAUUCAAUUCGAAGCUUGAAAUGUGAAAUGUUUUAAAUUGUGAUUUCAACCCUAGAUGGGUGAAUGGUGGAUGUUCAAUGAAAUCGCGUCCUCGUUUCUGCCAAAUCAACCCGUCGGCGUCGAUUGAUCUGACAACAACGCCCUUGAGUGCAUUAAGGCCCAUUGUAAAAUUAUAUCAAUGCAAGCGUGCACAUCUCCAGCAGAAUGGUGGAUGCAGUCAGCCAAAUAUGUCUUUCAGUCUGGCUGACUAUGUCGUCCUACUCGUUUUCAUCUUCUGAGUGAUUUUUAUAUUUUUAUAAUUAAAAUAUCACCCUACGGUAGAAGUUACGAGGAGGGCGGUAGUCACGUCGUCAAUGGUGAAACUGCUUUAUUAUGCGUCACCAGCCACUAGCCAACCUCGAUUAUGCGUCACUAGCCACUACUGGCCCAGAGCCAGACAAUACAUAAUUAUGCGGGUUUCAUACAGAGAUCGUGUGUUUACUGUUUAGUCACCGAUAGCGUUUAAAACGGCUCCAGAUGAAACUUAUCUAGCUGUAACCAUCACAAAAAUAGCAGCUUUAUUAUCGGUAGUAAAGACCAUAUUCCGCAUAUUUUUGUUUGAGGUGCUACAUACCCAGAGUUGAUUGGUUAUACCCAGAACUCUGAGACUGGAAGACAUUCGAGAUUAAUGUGCGAGACACCCGGCUGGUACAGUAGUAAGUUAUUCCUCGGCCCGUCAGCGGGUUGGUUGAUGUAAUUGGCAUCAGGUUCAGUUCCAUAAAAUUACACGCCAACGAUGCAACUGAGCAGUAUAAAGGUUUCUUGUUAUAGAGUUGCGCCGUAACAACCCUGAUAAUCGAAAAAGUCGCUUACUGCAUUGGUACAACGGGUUUUACUAAUUCCAUUUCCGUAGCGGCCAGCAGUAUGAGCAUUGCCCUCUAUUCCAAUUUUGCACCGGCUUCCGUCACCUUCCAGGUUUCAGUCAUUCCGCCAACUGGAUGAACUUUCUCUCGGGAAAUGUCCAGAGAGAUUAGGGCGAAAUGCACCGCAAUCCCGAUACAGGAAAAAAGCCAAAAGCAGGACGAACAACAGACUGGUAUCUUCGCGGUUAAAUUGUGCGCUAAUUAAGACUGACUAUCGAAUUUAUUAUAAAAGAACUAUUUCCAUUGGCAUGAGUGCCGAGAAAGUCUGUUUCAUGGUUGAUUGCUGUGUUAUUAGUCUCUAUUCGGGCACACACGAGUAGUGUACACGCUGAUCUAACUGCGU